GCUGGCGGCAGGCCUACACAAUGCUCCCCGAGCGGAUGACGGGAGCUUGCUCCUUCCUUCAGCGGCGGACGGGUGAGUAAUGCCUAGGAAUCUGCCUGGUAGUGGGGGACAACGUUUCGAAAGGAACGCUAAUACCGCAUACGUCCUACGGGAGAAAGCAGGGGACCUUCGGGCCUUGCGCUAUCAGAUGAGCCUAGGUCGGAUUAGCUAGUUGGUGAGGUAAUGGCUCACCAAGGCGACGAUCCGUAACUGGUCUGAGAGGAUGAUCAGUCACACUGGAACUGAGACACGGUCCAGACUCCUACGGGAGGCAGCAGUGGGGAAUAUUGGACAAUGGGCGAAAGCCUGAUCCAGCCAUGCCGCGUGUGUGAAGAAGGUCUUCGGAUUGUAAAGCACUUUAAGUUGGGAGGAAGGGCAGUAAGUUAAUACCUUGCUGUUUUGACGUUACCGACAGAAUAAGCACCGGCUAACUCUGUGCCAGCAGCCGCGGUAAUACAGAGGGUGCAAGCGUUAAUCGGAAUUACUGNGCGUAAAGCGCGCGUAGGUGGUUUGUUAACUUGGAUGUGAAAGCCCCGGGCUCAACCUGGGAACUGCAUCCAAAACUGGCAAGCUAAAGUACGGGUACAGGGUGGUGGAAUUUCCUGUGUACCGAUGAAAUGCUUAAAUAUAUUUAAGGAACACCACUGCCCAAGGCAACCACCUGGAUUGAUCCUGACCCUUUAGGUCCCAAAACGUGGGGACCAAACCGGGAUUAAAAACCCU
rnacentral:rRNA from 1 species